CCCACAUGGCGGUGAUUGGUUUAGGA
rnacentral:piRNA from 1 species